GGGUGGGUAGCGGCAUAGUGGUUUGAGUGUUGGAUUGGGAUUCUGGAGACCAGGGUUCGAAUCCUGGCUCGGCCU